CUGGUUUCACACCAGGAGAGGCAAGCUGAGAAGACCUGAGGCUAAUUCCUCCCUUCCACCACAUGCUCAACUCCUAAACAGGGCUAUCACUCUGAAAGAAGCACACCAUUGUCCCCAGCCCAGCUCCAGAGCCCUGGCUGGGGGAUUUUGCCCGGGACAGAAGCAGGCUGUAAAACAGAUAGGUCCUAAACUCUUUCCAAAGGAACUGACUAUCUGCAACAGAGGGUGGAGAAGUUCAAGCCUAAGGCUGCUCUCAAAAACUGGAGUUUGUGAAAGGGAACUUGGAGGAGGUUGGUAGAGCCGGCGAAGAUGCAGUCUAAAGUGUAAACCGGCUAGUUUGCAGGGGAGAACCAGGGAAAGAGUCAGCUGGGAGGAGCCCUCCUGAGGUCAGAAUACUACAGGGGCUACUCCUUCAAAGGAGCCUAAGCCUGUAGAGCCAUUGAUGCCCCUGAGCCUUGCUGUAAACAAUAGAGCGAUCAGCUGGCAAUUAAUGGAGCUUAAUAGCUGGAUGUGGUCAGGGAAAGAGAUGAAGGGCGCCUAGCCCAAAUCAUUGCCAUCCCAGGGCGUCUGUGGGCAUACCCUGAACUACGCUCCCUGCAGAGCAACACCAGGGGGUUAACACUUCAAGUGAGCGGAGGGAAGGCUUCACCAAAAUAAGCCAGCCAGUCACCAAACAUACAAGCAAAUAACAAGCCUGGGGCAGUGGGGGGCAGAGGAGGGGGGUGCCGUGAACCAGGACCAAGAGUUGCUACAAUACAUUAUCUAAAGUGUCCAGUUUCCAAGAAAAAUUUAUGAGACAAGCAAAGAAGCAGGAAAGCCCGACUCUUAGACUGGAAAAUGGAGUCAGCAGGAACUGCCCUGUGCCAGUGGCCGUAUGUCGGAUAUAACAAAGCCUAAAAGCAGCCCUGAGGAGGACACUGUCAAAUUCAAAUACAGAGGCAGACACAGCAGAAUUAGUGCUGGAAAGCAUCUGCUCCACCGGGAAUGAUGAAGGCCCCUGGUGGCCUCGGUGGGGACAGUUUCAGUGGUGCAGUAGGAGAAGAAACCAGACGAAGAGAGAAAUGGAGACAGCACAGACUUCCCCUACCAAGAACUCGGAUGAAAAGAAAAGAGAGUAGCUAAGAAAGUGCCUGCUGUGGCCCAGGUUCCUCACCAGGUCAGGGAACCACACCACCUGUCUGGGGGUCAUCAUACUGUGGCAGCUGUGUGUUGCUGUGAUGCUGAAAGCUAUGCCACCACUAUCUCAAAUACCACCAGGGUCACCCAUGGUGGACAGGUUUCAGCAGAGCUUCCCACCUCUGGAAAAGUUGGUCAUGAAAACCCUAUGAACAGCACCAGAGCAUCGUCUGACAGAGUGCUGGAAGAUUAUCUUUUCAAGAAUGUUGGUAUAGCAAACUGCCUUGGAAGAUAAAGAUAGUGCCCCCUCUGGAGCGCAGGGCAGAUUUUCUUACAGUCCAGUAUCAUAGAUAAUGUCUCUCUCACCCUCACGGGGCUUGAGGGGCAAGGAGGAGUGACACAAUCAUGAAGCCUACUGCUGUUAGCUGAUCCUUGAGUAAUAAAGUCCUUUGUCUCUGACCCAG
ensembl:lncRNA